CAUUACCGAAUUGUCAACACGAGCUGUUGCUGGCCUUCAAAUGGGGGCACGUGCACGCUCUGUUUUCAUCCACUCACACCUGUGCACCCUCUGUAGUUCUAUGGUCUGGGAGACUCUGUCUUCCUUCUGUGGUUCUGCGUCUUUACACACACACUGUAACCUGGUCUUAUGGAAUGUAAAGCAGCGUUUAACGCAAUAUAAUACAACUUUCAGCAACGGAUCUCUUGGCUCUCGCAUCGAUGAAGAACGCAGCGAAAUGCGAUAAGUAAUGUGAAUUGCAGAAUUCAGUGAAUCAUCGAAUCUUUGAACGCACCUUGCGCCCUUUGGCUAUUCCGAAGGGCAUGCCUGUUUGAGUAUCGUGAACACCUCAACUCUCACGGUUUGCCGUGAUGAGCUUGGACUUUGGAGGUUUUGCUGGCCCACGGUCUGCUCCUCUCAAAUGAAUUAGCUUACCAGUCUAUGGUGGCGCCACAGGUGUGAUAACUAUCUGCGCUCGUGGUCGUACGCCAGAUAACCUUCAGCGAUGGAGGUUUGCUGGGGCUCAUAAAUGUCUCUCCUCGGUGAAGACAGCUUCUUGACGUUUGAUCUCAAAUCAGGUAGGACUACCCGCUGAACUUAAGCAUAUCAAUAAGCGGAGGAAAAGAAACUAACAAGGAUUCCCCUAGUAACUGCGAGUGAAGCGGGAAGAGCUCAAAUUUAAAAUCUGGCGUGCCUCUGGUCGUCCGAGUUGUA
rnacentral:rRNA from 1 species